rnacentral:rRNA from 1 species
AUUGAACGCUGGCGGAAUGCUUUACACAUGCAAGUCGAACGGUAGAGGGGGCAACCCCUUGAGAGUGGCGAACGGGUGAGUCAUAUAUCGGAACGUGCCCAGUCGUGGGGGAUAACGUAGCGAAAGUUACGCUAAUACCGCAUACGAUCUAAGGAUGAAAGCGGGGGAUCGCCAGACCUCGCGCGACUGGAGCGGCCGAUAUCAGAUUAGGUAGUUGGUAGGGUAAAGGCCUACCAAGCCAACGAUCUGUAGCUGGUCUGAGAGGACGACCAGCCACACUGGAACUGAGACACGGUCCAGACUCCUACGGGAGGCAGCAGUGGGGAAUUUUGGACAAUGGGCGAAAGCCUGAUCCAGCCAUUCCGCGUGCAGGAUGAAGGCCCUCGGGUUGUAAACUGCUUUUGUACAGAACGAAAAGGUUUCUAUUAAUACUAGGAGCUCAUGACGGUACUGUAAGAAUAAGCACCGGCUAACUACGUG